AUACCCCAUUAUACUUUACUGCAAUGUUGUUUAAACUAGAGUAAUAGUAGAUAUAAGCUUGAAAUUCAAAGAAUUUGGCGGUACUUUAAUCUGACUAGAGGAACCUGUUUUAUAAACGAUAUACCACGAAAAAUCUUACUUAUUUUAAAUAGUUUGUAUACCGUCAUUAUUAGAUAAUUUUUAGAGGAAAAAUUAUUUAAAUUAAUAAAAUUAAAUAUAUUAGAUCAAGGUGCAGCUUAUAAAUAAGAAUAAAUGGGUUACAAUAAGUUUACUUAGGUGAAUUUAAAAUUUAAAAAUUUAAUGAAGACGGAUUUAGUUGUAUUUUUAAUUUAACAAGUUAAUUAGAAAUUAGCUCUAGAGUGUGUACAUA
rnacentral:rRNA from 1 species